rnacentral:rRNA from 1 species
CCUACGGGUGGCUGCAGUGGGGAAUAUUGGACAAUGGGGGCAACCCUGAUCCAGCCAUGCCGCGUGUGUGAAGAAGGCCCUCGGGUUGUAAAGCACUUUCAGUGAGGAAGAACGCCUGGUGGUUAAUACCCAUCAGGAAAGACAUCACUCACAGAAGAAGCACCGGCUAACUCCGUGCCAGCAGCCGCGGUAAUACGGAGGGUGCGAGCGUUAAUCGGAAUUACUGGGCGUAAAGCGCGCGUAGGUGGCUUGAUAAGCCGGUUGUGAAAGCCCCGGGCUCAACCUGGGAACGGCAUCCGGAACUGUCAAGCUAGAGUGCAGGAGAGGAAGGUAGAAUUCCCGGUGUAGCGGUGAAAUGCGUAGAGAUCGGGAGGAAUACCAGUGGCGAAGGCGGCCUUCUGGACUGACACUGACGCUGAGGUGCGAAAGCGUGGGUAGCAAACAGGAUUAGAUACCCUGGUAGUC